UACGUAGGGGGCAAGCGUUGUCCGGAAUCAUUGGGCGUAAAGCGCGUGUAGGCGGCUCGGUAAGUCUGCUGUGAAAGUCCAGGGCUCAACCCUGGGAUGCCGGUGGAUACUGUCGAGCUCGAGUCCGGAAGAGGAGUGUGGAAUUCCUGGUGUAGCGGUGAAAUGCGCAGAUAUCGGGAGGAACACCAACGGCGAAGGCAGCACUCUGGGCUGGAACUGACGCUGAGGAGCGAAAGCGUGGGUAGCAAACAGG
rnacentral:rRNA from 1 species